AAGACUAUACUUUCAGGGAUCAUUUCUAUAGUUUUUGACUGUCGAAAUGUGCUCUAAAGUGUACAAACUCACCAACCACGAUGAGGAGCUGUGGUGUUUUCUCCUGAGCGCGAUGUGAGUUAGUAAUGCUGUUUUAUUGCAGCUGUUACUGACUAUAGAUGAACGCACCUCUCUUCUUCCAUGGAGAGUAGGAGGGAGAGAACACAAGCUGAGUGGU